GUUAUUAUCCCAGCAUAAGAUCCACAAUGGAAAGACAGUUGCCCCAUGCCUUCCUGGAACCAGUCAUUAUUGCCUGAAAUGCCCCUUUCUUGGGUGGUGAAGCUCUGGAGGACCGAUCCAGACAUGUUUGUUCACAGCCACACCAGCGUGGACAGGAAUGUCUAGGCUUGUCAAGGAAGGUCAUCCGUGAAUUC